AUGGGGAGAUUCAGUGUCGCGAUUGACCGGGACUCGUUCCGUGAUACGCCUUGGUGGCGAGGGCAUGCACUUCUCUCCUAGUAGGACGUCGCGACCCGUUGGGUGUCGGUCUACGACGUAGCCUGUCACGGAUUGGCAGACCCUGCGUGUUCCGGCCGACUGCCCGACGGUAUAGCGUUCGGCCGGUUGCAAGCGCGGACGGUUCUUUCGGCCGUCGGACCUGGUCCGGCACCGAUCCCGCUCGUGCUGUUGGUGAUCGUGUCCUCGAACAGACUCUACCGGUCAGCGAUGCUAUUGCUUUGGGUACUUUCAGGACCCGUCUUGAAACACGGACCAAGGAGUCUAGCAUGUGCGCAAGUCAUUGGGAAUCACAAAACCUAAAGGCGUAAUGAAAGUAAAGGUUCGCUUAUGUGGACUGAGGGAUGAUGCUUUAAUGUAAAGUCGCAAUCCCGGGGCGUCUCACUCUCAUUGCGAGAAGAGGCGCACCUAGAGCGUACACGCUGGGACCCGAAAGAUGGUGAACUAUGCCUGGUCAGGUCGAAGUCAGGGGAAACCCUGAUGGAGGACCGUAGCGAUUCUGACGUGCAAAUCGAUCGUCGGAACUGGGUAUAGGGGCGAAAGACCAAUCGAACCAUCUAGUAGCUGGUUCCCUCCGAAGUUUCCCUCAGGAUAGCUGGCAUUCGAUGAAAGAGUCUCAUCCGGUAAAGCGAAUGAUUAGAGGCCUUGGGGCCGAAACGACCUCAACCUAUUCUCAAACUUUAAAUGGGUGAGAUCUCUGGCUUGCUUGAAUAGUGAAGCCAGAG
rnacentral:rRNA from 1 species